rnacentral:rRNA from 1 species
AUACGUAGGGUGCGAGCGUUAAUCGGAAUUACUGGGCGUAAAGCGUGCGCAGGCGGCUUUGUAAGACAGGUGUGAAAUCCCCGGGCUUAACCUGGGAAUGGCGCUUGUGACUGCAAGGCUCGAGUGCGGCAGAGGGGGGUGGAAUUCCACGUGUAGCAGUGAAAUGCGUAGAGAUGUGGAGGAACACCGAUGGCGAAGGCAGCCCCCUGGGUCGACACUGACGCUCAUGCACGAAAGCGUGGGGAGCAAACAGGAUUAGAUACCCUGGUAGUCCACGCCCUAAACGAUGCCAACUAGUUGUUGGGGAAGGAGACUUCCUUAGUAACGAAGCUAACGCGUGAAGUUGGCCGCCUGGGGAGUACGGUCGCAAGAUUAAA